rnacentral:tRNA from 1 species
GCCCCGGUAGCUCAGCAGGCAGAGCGCGGGCCUUGUAAGCCCGUGGUCCCGGGUUCGAAUCCCGGCCGGGGCU